CGAGGCGGCGUGCCUAAUACAUGCAAGUUGAGCGCUGAAGGUUGGUACUUGUACCGACUGGAUGAGCAGCGAACGGGUGAGUAACGCGUGGGGAAUCUGCCUUUGAGCGGGGGACAACAUUUGGAAACGAAUGCUAAUACCGCAUAAAAACUUUAAACACAAGUUUUAAGUUUGAAAGAUGCAAUUGCAUCACUCAAAGAUGAUCCCGCGUUGUAUUAGCUAGUUGGUGAGGUAAAGGCUCACCAAGGCGAUGAUACAUAGCCGACCUGAGAGGGUGAUCGGCCACAUUGGGACUGAGACACGGCCCAAACUCCUACGGGAGGCAGCAGUAGGGAAUCUUCGGCAAUGGACGAAAGUCUGACCGAGCAACGCCGCGUGAGUGAAGAAGGUUUUCGGAUCGUAAAACUCUGUUGGUAGAGAAGAACGUUGGAGAGAGUGGAAAGCUCAUCAAGUGACGGUAACUACCCAGAAAGGGACGGCUAACUACGUGCCAGCAGCCGCGGUAAUACGUAGGUCCCGAGCGUUGUCCGGAUUUAUUGGGCGUAAAGCGAGCGCAGGUGGUUUAUUAAGUCUGGUGUAAAAGGCAGUGGCUCAACCAUUGUAUGCAUUGGAAACUGGUAGACUUGAGUGCAGGAGAGGAGAGUGGAAUUCCAUGUGUAGCGGUGAAAUGCGUAGAUAUAUGGAGGAACAGCGGUGGCGAAAGCGGCUCUCUGGCCUGUAACUGACACUGAGGCUCGAAAGCGUGGGGAGCAAACAGGAUUAGAUACCCUGGUAGUCCACGCCGUAAACGAUGAGUGCUAGAUGUAGGGAGCUAUAAGUUGUCUGUAUCGCAGCUAACGCAAUAAGCACUCCGCCUGGGGAGAACGACCGCAAGGUUGAAACUCAAAGGAAUUGACGGGGGCCCUCACAAGCGGUGGAGCAUGUGGUUUAAUUCGAAGCAACGCGAAGAACCUUACCAGGUCUUGACAUACUCGUGCUAUUCCUAGAGAUAGGAAGUUCCUUCGGGACACGGGAUACAGGUGGUGCAUGGUUGUCGUCAGCUCGUGUCGUGAGAUGUUGGGUUAAGUCCCCCAACGAGCGCAACCCCUAUUGUUAGUUGCCAUCAUUAAGUUGGGCACUCUAACGAGACUGCCGGUGAUAAACCGGAGGAAGGUGGGGAUGACGUCAAAUCAUCUUGCCCCUUAUGACCUGGGCUACACACGUGCUACAAUGGAUGGUACAACGAGUCGCGAGACAGUGAUGUUUAGCUAAUGUGUUAAAACCAUUCUCAGUUCGGAUUGUAGGCUGCAACUCGCCUACAUGAAGUCGGAAUCGCUAGUAAUCGCGGAUCAGCACGCCGCGGUGAAUACGUUCCCGGGCCUUGUACACACCGCCCGUCACACCACGGGAGUUGGGAGUACCCGAAGUAGGUUGCCUAACCGCAAGGAGGGCGCUUCCUAAGGUA
rnacentral:rRNA from 1 species